CCCUUCUCCUGUCUGCCACCAUGUGAGACGUGCCUUUCGCCUUCCACUAUGAUUGUGAGGCCUCACCAGCCACGUGGAACUAUUUCAAGAUUUCAACAUUUUAAGAUAAUCUGAAAAAAAUUGGAAUGUGCCCCCAGCUGCGCUACUGGUGACUUCUUCAACAGUUAAGAAACUGAACUAUAUGUUCAUGAAAAUACUCAAUCAUUAAAGUUUAUGCAAUACUCUCUCAACACUGUUUAUCAAAGGAACCAAUAUGAAAGGAAAAACAUUGCUUUGAAGGGAAGAUGGAUGGAUCCCCUAGUAAACUACAGCUUGAGGUGCAAUUUCCUAAAGUUCAAACGCCUGAAAAAGGAAACGAAAGAAAACUCAACUCUUGAGACAGCUUUAAUGCUAGCUUUGAUCUCAAUUAUAGAGCUAUUUAUGAAAAGUGCAUUUUUACAACUAAAAAUAAAUUAGGAUCAAAAGCUUCUAGAGGCUAUACCAUGGAGUGCUUAAUAAAAAGUUGAGUAAAGAG
rnacentral:lncRNA from 1 species